UAUACUGUGUGGAAGUGACUGGAAUCAUAUGUGUAUAUGUGUAAGGAAACGUCAGGCUUGACUUCAAAAUUGCUUUCAUAACUUUGUAAAACAAAAUGUAACAAAUAAAUACAAAGAUAAUGUAACAUUAAUUUGGUGAAUGUUGUUUUGUAUCAAAUUAAUAAACCGUGCACCAACAACUUGGCAAAAGAAUCUUCAAAAUUUAUAGGAAUUACAAUUCAAGUGUAAACCUUUUUAAUGCAGCAUCAAAUUGGUCAAAACUUAAACAGUAAUUAAAAUUCCACUAUAUGAUGAACAUAGUAUAUGAACAUAGAACUGAAUUAAAUAGAUCGGCCCCAUUGUCACUGAUACCA